AUGGCUCAGCUAUACAGCCUACUGCACAUGUGGAGAUACAUACUACUGACAGUCACCGUGGCAUCAGGUGUGUUUGCAGCUACGAUUGGGCCAAGCAAGGAAGACACAAACAUUGUAAAGGAAGAAACUAAAACUGUAACUUUCACAUGUUCAUAUGAGUCAACCAGCACUUACAUUCUUCUGUACUGGUACAGACAGGAAAGGACAGGUAACAGAGCACCACAAUAUUUACUGCAUCAAGGUGCAAAGUCCUAUAAGGGUCAGAAGAGCACUCCUGCUGACAACCGGCUUGAGGCAACAAUAACAGAAAGCUCUACUGAACUUACCAUCAGGGGACUGCUGCUCACAGAUACAGCUCUGUACUACUGUGCUCUCAGAGUAGUUGGCCCAGUGAUACAAAGUCUCACACAAGCUGUACAAAAACUUUGA